CAUUAGUGAAUCGUUAAAGAUGCUUCUUUUUGCUCAUAUUUGGAGUUUGGACGGUUGAAAAGGUUGGAAACGAGCUUUACACAUGAAAAGACUUCCCCAGUAGUCUCCGUCUUUACCUUUGACAACAAAAAUAAAACUUUCGGUAGACUUAAUAAGACGUUUACCUAAAAGAGGUUAGUUUUUCAUUUGACCGAACUUUUGACUUUUCAAAAUAGACUUCAACGGAACUCUACAGAAUGUAGACUGCCACCGAAGUCUAUAAAAGGUCAGUUUUGCAUUUGACCAAAACUUUGACUUCGUGGAAUAGGUUAGUUUUGUGUUUGACCAAAAAGUUUAAAAAGCAAUCAAAAAUUUAUUAAAUUGUAGACUUCAUAUGCAGUCUUCUUAUCUUAAAAAAAAAAUGUAGACUGCGUAUAAAGUCUACUUUUUUAUUUUGGUCAAAUACAAAACCAACCCGUCGGAUUUGAGAGUAGACUU